GCACCUGUGGCUCAGUGGGAGAGUGUCAGUCCCAUAUAUUGAGGGUGGCAGGUUUGAACCUGGCCAGGGCCA
rnacentral:tRNA from 1 species